ensembl:snRNA U6 U6 spliceosomal RNA
GUGCUCACUUCUGCAGCACAGAUACUAGAACCAGAAUAAUACAGAGAUUAGCAUGGCCCCUGUGCAAGGAUGAACCACAAAUUUGUGAAGCGUUCCACAUUUUA